rnacentral:lncRNA from 1 species
AUUAUAUUUCCCGCCAGAUCGAUCCUUUAUGUAAUUAACGUUAAUUCAUAUUAAACACUAAUUUAUUUAUCAUCACAGAAUAUGAGAUGUUAGUGGUAUAAAGGAGUUUUUACAUCAGAUACAUCAUGAACAUUGAUCAUCAUUUGAAGACUAAUGGAAGAUAUUAUAAAUAAUAUAUAUAACCCUGUUUCUAUUACAAAUCUAUGGUGAAUAACUGUGAAAUAUUUCUUUGGAAUUAAUACGAACGUUUGUUUUCUUCAUUGCCAAUAUUUUACAUUCUGUUUGAAUUUGGAAAAAUCUGUGAAGGUCUUUGUAUUAUCUUCAGAUAUUCGAGAAGAUCAGAUUUGCUGUAAAUAUAGCAGUAGAAGUAUUUGAAUCAACAAAGACAUUUAUAAAGAAGAAAAGAAAAAUAUAUUUUGGGGUCGUAUACUGUAGAAGAAUAAUGAAUCCACCGGAGAUGACAAGAAAAAAAUUAUCAGACCAAUGUGAUAUCUGUAAAAAGACUUUUUCUAAUAUAGCAAAUCUCACUGUUCACAAGUGUAUCGAUCCAAGUGGAAAGCAAUUUCACUGUGAUAUCUGUGGUAAAUCAUUCUCUAAGAAAGAUAAUCUUACUCAUCACAAAUACAUUCAUACAGGAGAGAAACCAUAUCAAUGUGGUAUUUGUGGUAAAUCAUUCUCU